rnacentral:rRNA from 1 species
UACGUAGGGGGCUAGCGUUGUCCGGAUUUAUUGGGCGUAAAGAGCGUGUAGGCGGCCAUGUAGGUCCGGUGUGAAAACUCGAGGCUUAACCUCGAGAUGUCAUCGGAAACCAUUUGGCUAGAGUCCGGAAGAGGAGAGUGGAAUUCCUGGUGUAGCGGUGAAAUGCGCAGAUAUCAGGAAGAACACCAAUGGCGAAAGCAGCUCUCUGGGACGGUACUGACGCUGAGACGCGAAAAGCGUGGGGGAGCGAACAGGG